rnacentral:lncRNA from 1 species
CUUCAGAGAUCUCCUCCAUAACUUCUUGCUGUUGGGAGAUGAUCACCCACAAUCCAAGAGAGAGAGGGAGGGAGAGAGAGAGAGGCAGAGAGAGAGAGAGAAGAACCACUGGCUCAGUUGUAAUCAUGUGCUGUUCAGCAUCACAAUACUACUGUCAAUCCAUUUCCCUUUCUCCAAGGAAAUUGGGGCUGGAGUCUGAAGAGAAUAAAGAGACUAUAUAAUUUAUCUUAAUUUUCAUUGAAUAUCACUUAGAGUUGAAUGUGCAUAUGUGAAG